rnacentral:rRNA from 1 species
GGCUCAGGACGAACGCUGGCGGCGUGCCUAAUACAUGCAAGUCGAACGAACUCUGGUAUUGAUUGGUGCUUGCAUCAUGAUUUACAUUUGAGUGAGUGGCGAACUGGUGAGUAACACGUGGGAAACCUGCCCAGAAGCGGGGGAUAACACCUGGAAACAGAUGCUAAUACCGCAUAACAACUUGGACCGCAUGGUCCGAGUUUGAAAGAUGGCUUCGGCUAUCACUUUUGGAUGGUCCCGCGGCGUAUUAGCUAGAUGGUGGGGUAACGGCUCACCAUGGCAAUGAUACGUAGCCGACCUGAGAGGGUAAUCGGCCACAUUGGGACUGAGACACGGCCCAAACUCCUACGGGAGGCAGCAGUAGGGAAUCUUCCACAAUGGACGAAAGUCUGAUGGAGCAACGCCGCGUGAGUGAAGAAGGGUUUCGGCUCGUAAAACUCUGUUGUUAAAGAAGAACAUAUCUGAGAGUAACUGUUCAGGUAUUGACGGUAUUUAACCAGAAAGCCACGGCUAACUACGUGCCAGCAGCCGCGGUAAUACGUAGGUGGCAAGCGUUGUCCGGAUUUAUUGGGCGUAAAGCGAGCGCAGGCGGUUUUUUAAGUCUGAUGUGAAAGCCUUCGGCUCAACCGAAGAAGUGCAUCGGAAACUGGGAAACUUGAGUGCAGAAGAGGACAGUGGAACUCCAUGUGUAGCGGUGAAAUGCGUAGAUAUAUGGAAGAACACCAGUGGCGAAGGCGGCUGUCUGGUCUGUAACUGACGCUGAGGCUCGAAAGUAUGGGUAGCAAACAGGAUUAGAUACCCUGGUAGUCCAUACCGUAAACGAUGAAUGCUAAGUGUUGGAGGGUUUCCGCCCUUCAGUGCUGCAGCUAACGCAUUAAGCAUUCCGCCUGGGGAGUACGGCCGCAAGGCUGAAACUCAAAGGAAUUGACGGGGGCCCGCACAAGCGGUGGAGCAUGUGGUUUAAUUCGAAGCUACGCGAAGAACCUUACCAGGUCUUGACAUACUAUGCAAAUCUAAGAGAUUAGACGUUCCCUUCGGGGACAUGGAUACAGGUGGUGCAUGGUUGUCGUCAGCUCGUGUCGUGAGAUGUUGGGUUAAGUCCCGCAACGAGCGCAACCCUUAUUAUCAGUUGCCAGCAUUAAGUUGGGCACUCUGGUGAGACUGCCGGUGACAAACCGGAGGAAGGUGGGGAUGACGUCAAAUCAUCAUGCCCCUUAUGACCUGGGUUACACACGUGCUACAAUGGAUGGUACAACGAGUUGCGAACUCGCGAGAGUAAGCUAAUCUCUUAAAGCCAUUCUCAGUUCGGAUUGUAGGCUGCAACUCGCCUACAUGAAGUCGGAAUCGCUAGUAAUCGCGGAUCAGCAUGCCGCGGUGAAUACGUUCCCGGGCCUUGUACACACCGCCCGUCACACCAUGAGAGUUUGUAACACCCAAAGUCGGUGGGGUAACCUUUUAGGAACCAGCCGCCUAAGGUGGGACAGAUGAU